CCGUCAAUUCCUUUGAGUUUUAGCCUUGCGGCCGUAGUUCCCAGACGGGACACUUAACGCGUUAACUUCGGCACGGAGAGGGUCGAUACUCCCCAUACCCAGUGUCCAUAGUUUACAGCGUGGACUACCAGGGUAUCUGAUCCUGUUUGCUCCCCACGCUUUCGGGCUUAAGCGUCAGUAACGACCCAGGAGGCCGCCUUCGCCACUGGUAUUCCUCCCGAUAUCUACGCAUUUCACCACUACACCGGGAAUUCUACCUCCCCCUGUCGCACUCAAGCUUGAUAGUAUCGAACGACGCCUCCCAGUUAAGCCAGGAGAUUUCACAUUCGACUUACCAUGCCGCCUGCGCCCUCUUUACGCCCAAUAAAUCCGGAUAACGCUCGCCACCUACGUUUUACCGCAGCUGCUGGCACGUAGUUAGCCGUGGCUUAUUCCUCAGGUACUGUCCUUACUCCUCCCUGAUAAAAGAGGUUUACAACCCGAAGGCCUUCUUCCCUCAUGCGGUGUCGCUGUGUCGGGCUUUCGCCCAUUGCACAAUAUUCCUUGCUGCUGCCUCCCGUAGGAGU
rnacentral:rRNA from 1 species